rnacentral:rRNA from 1 species
GACGAACGCUGACAGCAUGCUUAACACAUGCAGUCACUGAUUGUGGCGGCGGGGUGCGUAACACGUACGUAUCUUGCCUCACAGGUAGGGACAACAUUUGGAAACGAAUGCUAAUACCUAAUCCUGUGAGAGAGCUUUGCGUCCCCUUAGCUAGUUGGUGAGGUAACGGCUCACCAAGGCGAUGAUGGGUAGCCGGCCUGAGAGGGUGAUCGGCCACAAGGGGAAUGAGACACGGCACGGACGCCUACGGGAUGCAGCAGGAGGGAAUAAUUGACAAUGGACCAGAGGCUGAUCCAGCAAUUCUGUGUGUACGAUGAAGUUGGCGGAAUCAAAAGUGUUUUCAGGAGGGAGGCGGUACGGGCAGAAGAAGAGACGGCUAACUACGUGUCAGCAGCCGCGGUAAUAC